UUGUUGUAGGGUCUGCAGUAGUUGUUGUAGGGUCUGCAGUAGUUGUUGUAGGGUCUGCAGUAGUUGUUGUAGGUAUUGGAGUAGUUGUUGUAGGGUCUGCAGUAGUUGUUGUAGGAGCGAAAGUAGUUGUUGUAGGGACUGCAGUAGUUGUUGUAGCUUCUGGUGGAGGAUAUUGACAUUUGGUUGUAUCUCUAUUGCAUCCUGUUCCAUCAAACACAUAGUUAGGAGGACAGAAAAGCAUUUCGGAAGGUUUAGCUGCUGCUGCGCUACAGUAAACGUAUUGAUUGCAAUCAGCCGCAUUUUGGAAAUAUCCUUUAGCUUUGCA